rnacentral:rRNA from 1 species
GACGAACGCUGGCGGCGUGCUUAACACAUGCAAGUCGAACGGAAAGGCCCUGCUUUUGUGGGGUGCUCGAGUGGCGCACGGGUGAGUAACACGUGAGUAACCUCCCCUUGACUUUGGGAUAACUUCAGGAAACUGGGGCUAAUACCGGAUAUGAGCUCCUGCUGCAUGGUGGGCGUUGGAAAGUUUCGGCGGUUGGGGAUGGACUCGCGGCUUAGCAGCUUGUUGGUGGGGUUGUGGCUUACCCAGGCUUUGACGGGUAGCCAGCCUGGGAGGGUGACCGGGCCCAGUGGGACUGGGAUGCGGCCCAGACGCCUACGGGAGGAAGGAGUGGGGAAUAUUGCAAAAUGGGCGGAAGCCGGAUGCAGCAACGCCGGGUGCGGGAUGACGGCCUUCGGGUUGUAAACCGCUUUCGCGUGUGACGAAGCGUGAGUGACGGUAAUGGGUAAAGAAGCACCGGCUAACUACGU